GUCUACGGCCAUGCUACCCUUAACAAACCCAAUUCCGUCUGAUCUCGGAAGCUAAGUAGGGUUGGUCCUGGUUAGUUUUUGGGUGGGAGACUACCUAGGAAGACGAGGUGCUGUAGGUG
rnacentral:rRNA from 1 species